GUCUACGACCAUACCACCCUGAACGCGCCUGAUCUUGGAAGCUAAGCAGGGUUGGGCCUGGUUAAUAUUUGGAUGGGAGAUGCUACCAUACCUCUACUAGAAUGGCCAAAAUCCAAAAUACUGCCAAUUGCAAUUG
rnacentral:rRNA from 1 species